GCAUUGAAAACCUGUUAAAAGCAUAAAUAUAUAUCUCACCGCCUAACAAAACCAAAUUCAUAAAAAAUUAGUGGACGAAAUUACCCAUCUAUAAAAGCGCAAUGUUCAUUUUUUGAAAACCAAUUGAAACAGAAGGAAUAAAAAAAACCCAUUAGCCGCUUUGAGGUCUUUUUUUUUUUUCAAUUGUUUUUUUAUCGAAAUUAAGUGUUGUUAUUGUCAUUAUUUGAAGUAAUUUUGAUGUUUAUUAAUUGAGUAAUUGGUUAUUGCUAUAAAUGAAGUUGGUUUGGUUAGGGUUUAAAGUGGUUGUGCUUUUGGUUGGGCUUAGGGAUUUUUCUGACUUCAAAUUGUUAGGUUGAUUUUUAUGUGAAAUGUGAUGUUGUUAAUUGCCGGCGUAAUGAGGUGAGGUAGAUGAUCGGAAAAUCGAACAACAAACCGUUUUGGUGAUAUCAGACUAUCGAUCGUUUUUUGCCACGGCGGUACCCGUGUGUCGCCCUGCUAUCGAACGUACAGACAACGGUGGUGGAAGAGAAAGAGCAAACGAUGGCAGAGAUUGAGAGGAAAGAGAAAGGGAGAGGGGUGGUUACAGACUGAAAUGAAUUUUGCAGAGAUUUUUUACUGGACUGAAAUUGAAAUGGAAGAGGAAGAGAGAUGGAGUUUGUGGGAAAGGAGUCAUUUUCUAUGGAGUAAAUUUACCAUUUUUUUUUUUUAAGUGGGUGAGACUAUUCAAAUGUAUUCAGGUUUAGAUAUUUAUUUAAUAAUAAAAUUAUUAAAAAGUUAGUGAUUAAAAGUAAAAUAAUAUUUAAUUUUUUAUUUUUAUAUGUAAAAAAUCAAAUUUUUUUAUCCACCAAUAUUAGUUAAAGAAUAAUUUUUAACUGUAAAAAAAUAUUUGUUAUUACUUUGUAAUUACUUUCCCCUACACUUCUAAUAAUUCAAAUAAAUUACUUUUUAAUUUUAUUA